GACGAACGCUGGCGGCGUGCUUAACACAUGCAAGUCGAACGGAAAGGCCCCUUUGGGGGUCCUCGAGUGGCGAACGGGUGAGUAACACGUGAGUAACCUGCCCUUGACUUCGGGAUAACUUCAGGAAACUGGGGCUAAUACCGGAUAGGAAUCCUUGCUGCAUGGUGGGGGUUGGAAAGCUUCGGCGGUUUUGGAUGGACUCGCGGCUUAUCAGCUUGUUGGUGGGGUAGUGGCUUACCAAGGCUUUGACGGGUAGCCGGCCUGAGAGGGCGACCGGCCACAUUGGGACUGAGAUACGGCCCAGACUCCUACGGGAGGCAGCAGUGGGGAAUAUUGCACAAUGGGCGGAAGCCUGAUGCAGCAACGCCGCGUGCGGGAUGACGGCCUUCGGUUUGUAAACCGCUUUCAGCAGGGGCGAAGCUUGUGGUGACGGUACCUGCAGAAGAAGCACCGGCUAACUACGUG
rnacentral:rRNA from 1 species